rnacentral:rRNA from 1 species
CCUACGGGAGGCAGCAGUGGGGAAUCUUGCGCAAUGGCCUAACGGCUGACGCAGCGACGCCGCGUGCGGGAGGAAGGCCUUCGGGUCGUAAACCGCUGUCAGGAGGGAAGAAGCUCCCCGGGAGGCAAUGCCCGGGGGUUGACGGUACCUCCAGAGGAAGCACCGGCUAACUCCGUGCCAGCAGCCGCGGUAAUACGGAGGGUGCGAGCGUUGUUCGGAAUUAUUGGGCGUAAAGCGCGCGCAGGCGGCUUUCUAAGUCCACGGGUGAAAGGCCGGGGCUCAACCCCGAUUGCAUGCCCAGGAUACUGGGGAGCUGGAGACACGUAGAGGCAAGCGGAAUUCCGGGUGUAGCGGUGGAAUGCGUAGAGAUCCGGAAGAACACCGGAGGCGAAGGCGGCUUGCUGGGCGUGAUCUGACGCUGAGGCGCGAAAGCGUGGGGA